CCUACGGGAGGCAGUAGUGAGGAAUAUUGGUCAAUGGGCGGGAGCCUGAACCAGCCAAGUCGCGUGCAGGAAGACGGCUCUAUGAGUUGUAAACUGCUUUUGUACAAGGGUAAACCUGAAUACGUGUAUUCAGCUGAAAGUACUGUACGAAUAAGGAUCGGCUAACUCCGUGCCAGCAGCCGCGGUACUACGGAGGAUCCAAGCGUUAUCCGAAUUUAUUGGGUUUAAAGGGUGCGUAGGCGGAUUGAUAAGUUAGAGGUGAAAUGUCCGAGCUUAACUCGGGAACUGCCUCUAAUACUGUUGAUCUAGAGAGUAGAUGCGGUAGGCGGAAUGUAUGGUGUAGCGGUGAAAUGCUUAGAGAUCAGACAGAACACCGAUUGCGAAGGCAGCUUACCAAUCUAUAUCUGACGUUGAGGCACGAAAGCGUGGGGAGCAAACAGGAUUAGAUACCCGAGUAGUC
rnacentral:rRNA from 1 species